rnacentral:rRNA from 1 species
UACGGAGGAUGCAAGCGUUAUCCGGAAUGAUUGGGCGUAAAGCGUCCGCAGGCGGCUAUGUAAGUCUGCUGUUAAAGAGUGAGGCUCAACCUCAUAAGAGCAGUGGAAACUACAUGGCUAGAGUGCGUUCGGGGCAGAGGGAAUUCCUGGUGUAGCGGUGAAAUGCGUAGAUAUCAGGAAGAACACCGGUGGCGAAAGCGCUCUGCUAGGCCGCAACUGACACUCAUGGACGAAAGCUAGGGGAGCGAAUGGG